rnacentral:lncRNA from 1 species
UUUUGUCCUGAAAUCUCUGAAGAAUAUCUUCUGUCCCAGGUCCCCUUGACCUACUUCAAGGGUCUGACAUCUCCUGUUCUCUUCAACUCCAACCCUCCACAAACCUGGGGAGGAUUUGAUAAUCUGUCUUGUUGCUGCUGAUUACAGAUUUUUGGAAUGCCUCACUUGUGUGUUUCUUUAGUCAAGAUUAUGCAUUUUCAAUGCUUUUGCUCCAACUGUGGAAUGAUAUUGGACUUACCUUUCUUAAAAGAAAUUUAGGUGUCAAAGGAGGAGGAAUACAGGUAAUGGAGGUAUGUGGAUCUUCUAAGUGCAGGUCUGUCUUCCACUACAGUCUUCUCUACAGGAUGGCUUAUAAUUCUGAAAGAAGACACACAGAUGACCAACAGACACAUGAAAAGAUGCUCAACAUCACUCAUCGUCAGGGAAAUGCAAAUCAAAACCACAAUGAAAUAUCGCCUUACAUCUAUCAGAAUGGCUAAAAUAAAAAAUGACAAGAAGUAACACGUGUUGGUGAGGAUGUAGAGAAAAAGAACCUUUCGUGCACUGUUGAUGGGAAUGUAAAUUGGUAUAAUCACCAUGGAAAACAAUAUGGAGAUUCCUUUAAAAAAGUAAAAAUAGGAAUACCAUAUGAUUCUAAUAAUUCCACUGCUGGGUAUUUACCUAAAGAAAAUGAAAACACUAAUUCAAAAAGAUAUAUGCACCCCUGUGUUUAUUGCAGCCGUAUUUACAGUACCCAAAAAAUGGAAGCAACCUAAGUAUCCAUCAGGAGAUUAAUGGGUAAAGAAAAUGUAUAUAUACACAAUGGAAUAUUAUACCAUGAUUAAAAAAAAAGUGAGAUCUUGCCAUUUGUGACAACAUUGAUAGAUCUAGAAGGUAUCAUGCUAAGUGAAAUAAGUCAGACUGAGAAAGACAAAUACAAUACGAUUUCACUCAUAUGUAGAGUCUAAAAAACAAAACAAAUGAAGAAACAGACAAACAAGAAGCAGAACCAGACCUAUAAAUACAGAGAACAACCUGAUGGUUGCAAGAGGGAUGGGGAUGGGUGAAGGAAGGAGGAACAGACUUCCAGUUACAGAAUUAAUAAAUCGUGGGAGUAGAAGGUACAGAAUAAGGAAUAUAGUCAAUGGUAUUGUAAUAGUG